rnacentral:rRNA from 1 species
GCUCAGGAUGAACGCUAGCUACAGGCUUAACACAUGCAAGUCGAGGGGUAGCAGGGUAGCAAUACCGCUGACGACCGGCGCACGGGUGAGUAACACGUAUCCAACCUUCCCAUGACUCAGGGAUAGCCUUUCGAAAGAAAGAUUAAUACCUGAUAGUACUUUUUUAAGGCAUCUUGAAAAAGUUAAAGAUUUAUCGGUUAUGGAUGGGGAUGCGUUCCAUUAGAUAGUUGGUGAGGUAACGGCUCACCAAGUCUUCGAUGGAUAGGGGUUCUGAGAGGAAGGUCCCCCACAUUGGUACUGAGACACGGACCAAACUCCUACGGGAGGCAGCAGUGAGGAAUAUUGGUCAAUGGGCGAGAGCCUGAACCA